UCUUUUGUCUUUCUCUUU
rnacentral:sRNA from 1 species